rnacentral:misc_RNA from 1 species
GCAGAAGGAUCAUUAGUGAAGAUUUGGGCAGGCCAUACGGACGCCAAAAAGUGUCCCUGGCCGCCUACACCCACUAUACAUCCACAAACCCGUGUGCACUGUCUUGGAGAAAGGCUUCAGAGAAGUUUUUUGUGGCCUCUCUUGGGGUCUUUCUUCGCUACAAACUCGGAUGGUUAGUAUGAACGUGGAACUUGGUUGGACCGUCACUGGCCAACAAACUAUACACAACUUUCGACAACGGAUCUCUUGGUUCUCCCA